rnacentral:misc_RNA from 1 species
UGCCACCGAGCAGGCUCCCGUGCA